rnacentral:misc_RNA from 1 species
UCCCCGUUACCGGGGCAGUCUGAUUAGAAAAAUACAACUAAUCACAAGGGUUGCGCUCGUUGAAGGACUUAACCUAACAUCUCACGACACGAGCUGACGACGGCCAUGCAACACCUGUCACCGAGUUCCUUGCGGCACUCUCGCCUUUCGGCAAAAUUCUCGGGAUGUCAAGCCUGGGUAAGGUUCUACGCUUACCGUCGUAUUAAACAACACGCUCCACCGCUUGUGCGGGUCCCCGUCAAUUCCUUUAUGUUUUAGCCUUGCGGCCGUACUCCACAGGCGGGAUGCUUAACGCGUUAGCUUCGCUACAGAGGGGGUCGAUACCCCCCACAGCUAGCAUCCAUAGUUUACGGCGUGGACUAC